rnacentral:rRNA from 1 species
GUCCACACCGUAAACGAUGAUUACUAGAUUUUGGGCUUAUGGUCAGAGUCCAAGCGAAAGUGUUAAGUAAUCCACCUGGGGAGUACGUCCGCAAGGAUGAAACUCAAAGGAAUUGACGGGGGCCCGCACAAGCGGUGGAGCAUGUGGUUUAAUUCGAUGAUACGCGAGGAACCUUACCUGGGCUUGAAAGUUAGUGACCGCUCCUGAAAGGGAGCUUUCCGCAAGGACACGAAACUAGGUGCUGCAUGGCUGUCGU